CUGCAUAUAUUUCCAAGUUAACAUGAACAAGAUUUUCUGAAAGACUGCUAUGGAGUCUGAGAAAAAAUGUCAAAGGUAGUGCCAAAAUUGUCACUUAAAGAACUGCAGGAAUGGAGUUGGCAUUUACAGAAUUUGGAAGAGAAGCAGGUUUAGUGAUAAAGACCAGAAGCACAGAGCUAAGCAUAUUAAAUAUUGAGGACAUGAAGAGGAAAGAACUGACAGAGGAGGUGAAGAAAGGUGAUCAGGAAGAGCCAUCAAAGUGUUAUCCUGGAAUUCAAGUGAAGACAGUGUUUCAAAGUGGAAAUGAACAGUGUCCUGUAACCCUCAGAGUGAGACUAGAGUCAGAAUGCAGGCUUUUCUCAUUUGAAAUCUGUAAGUCCAGGUCCUUACCUCCACCUAAAAGUUCUGCCAUCAAGGAACAUCUGCUCAUUAUCUUCUGUUCACACAUCAAAUGACUUCAAUGUGAUCCCUGGAUGUUCUCCAAAGAGCUGAAGGGAAAUAAAUAUUCUUUCUUUAUCACCAAAUACUUCAACUGCAGAGUGAUUGUGCUACCAAGGCCUGAAACUUCGGAAAAACCUGCAUAACACAAAAUAUAAAAUAUGCCACAGAGAGGAUCCAGAGAGCCCAUCUCCGGUCAGUUAUCUGUAUUUGUAUGUCAACUACAGCAUCAAAAAGCAUAGGCAUGGAUACUAAGGACCCCCUCUGUACACCAACGCCAGUCCAAAGGACAGUGUGUCACUGUGAACUGGAAAUUCAUCUCUCUUCUUCAAUUUUUUUCUACCUACUUUAUGCUUUAUCUCUAAGUUGAGGCUGUUUAUGGCCUCAUCCUCAAUUACCUUGUCCCUCAUUACUCCCAGUUAAUGGAGAUUAAGCUUUGUAUCAUGACUUCCUAACUAAAAUUGAAAUCACAAGACAUCACAUAAAUAAAGUUACAAAUGGAUUAGAUAAACAU
rnacentral:lncRNA from 1 species